rnacentral:rRNA from 1 species
CACGUAGGGGACGAGCGUUGUCCGGAUUCAUUGGGCGUAAAGCGCGCGUAGGCGGCUCGGAAAGUCGGUCGUGAAAUGCCGGGGCUCAACCCCGGGACUGCGUCCGAUACUCCCGAGCUGGAGGCAGGUAGGGGAGAUCGGAAUUCCUGGUGUAGCGGUGAAAUGCGCAGAUAUCAGAAGGAACACCGGUGGCGAAGGCGGAUCUCUGGGCCUUGCCUGACGCUGAGGCGCGAAAGCUAGGGGAGCGAACAGG